rnacentral:rRNA from 2 species
GACCGCGACCCCAGGU